CAGCCAGGUUCAGCUUGGCCUCGGCAUGUCGUUGUCGAACUGGGUGCGCCAGUUCCAGACUUCGCGAUCGCUCGGACAAAAACUCACCCAUGCCAUCGAUCUCAAGCUCAGCGAUGUGCGUCUUUACAUUCCGGCGGUCAGCAAUCGCACCACCGGCAUGAGCAUGGGCGAGCACACCGAAAUCACCGCCAAGGUCUGGAACAUCUCGCGCGAGGCGCAGGACCAGAUCGCAUUGGAGAGCCAUNUUGAGAGCCAUCAGCGCGCGGUCGCCGCAUGGGAUCGCGGGUUCUUCGAUGGCCUCGUCAU
rnacentral:misc_RNA from 1 species